UACGAAGGGGGCUAGCGUUGUUCGGAAUUACUGGGCGUAAAGCGCACGUAGGCGGAUACUUAAGUCAGGGGUGAAAUCCUGGAGCUCAACUCCAGAACUGCCUUUGAUACUGAGAAUCUUGAGUUCGGGAGAGGUGAGUGGAACUGCGAGUGUAGAGGUGAAAUUCGUAGAUAUUCGCAAGAACACCGGUGGCGAAGGCGGCUCACUGGCCCGAUACUGACGCUGAGGAGCGAAAGCGUGGGGAGCGAACAGG
rnacentral:rRNA from 1 species